UGUGGCAGAAAAGUGCAAUAAAUUUAAGAUUUAUAAAUAAAGAAUAUCUUUCCUUAGA
rnacentral:tRNA from 1 species